GAGAUAGAUAUAUCUCUGUUAGGAUGCAUCUCUUUUACUUUCUUUGUUACUCCCUCACCCAUCCAUCUGCUUCACACUGUCCAUCCAUCUUGGUCGCACCGGCUAACCCACGCGUCGCCGGCCGGCACUCGCUACAACAGCAGUUCUAAAAUCCCAACUGAGAGAGCUACUUAAGCUCGUUGUGAAUUAUUUUUGAUGUUAUUUGAAUUAGUGUUUGUGGGUAUUUGACUGCUUACUGGAUAUGUUCAUAAAAAGUUCAAUCAGCAAUAUAAAGCUACAAUUGGGGCUGAUUUUGUCACCAAAGAACUACAAUUUGAUGACAGGCUUGUCACUCUACAAAUAUAGGACACAGCUGGGCAGGAGAGGCUUCAAAGUCUCGGCGUUGCCUUUUAUAGAGUGACAGAUUGUUGUAUUCUUGUAUACGAUGUUAAUGUCAUGAAAUCAUUUGAUACUCUUAACAAUUGGCAUGAAGAAUUUCUCAAACAGAUUCGAGAUUUGAUAUGGACAUGUUUGGUAAUUUGGAGGGCAGAUGGUAGCUCAUUUUGUGUUUUUGUUCAUAUUACCUUACAUGUAUUUUGGUUGGUUGUAAAUUUUUUAUUUUUGUUGGUAUUACAGGGCAUGUUGGGUAAUUCGCCAUUGAUAUUUUAUUUUUGUUGAUAUUAGUAGACAUGUUUUUUGUUAGAUAUUAGAUGUGUUUGGUAAUCCGCAUGCGGUUAAUAUUAUAUUUUUGUGGAUAUUAGUAGAUGUUUUUUGUGGAUAUUAGGAGACAUGUUUAUAAUCUGCAUGCAGUUCAUGUUGUAUUUUUGUGGACAGUGCUGAAAUUCGAUUGUGAUGUUAUGAAAAUGAACAGAUUUCUGUA